rnacentral:rRNA from 1 species
UACGUAGGGGGCAAGCGUUGUCCGGAAUCAUUGGGCGUAAAGCGCGUGUAGGCGGCUCGGUAAGUCCGCUCUGAAAGUCCAGGGCUCAACCCUGGGAUGCGGGUGGAUACUGCCGGGCUCGAGUCCGGAAGAGGCGAGUGGAAUUCCCGGUGUAGCGGUGAAAUGCGCAGAUAUCGGGAGGAACACCAAUGGCGAAGGCAGCUCGCUGGGACGUGACUGACGCUGAGACG